rnacentral:piRNA from 1 species
UGAUGCCAGUCUUGGAGAAAGAUGACAUGU